GAAGUUGAAGGAUUCUAGUGAGCGUGUUUGGUGAAAGUCUAACCUUUCUAUUAUUGCAGGGAUAUUUAACUAGGACGCAGAUGCUGUUUGACGGCUUAAUUUUUCCGCUUUCAUUUUCGAAACUACGCAACAGUUUCCCUCACGGCCAAUAGGUGGUCUAGAAAUUUUUAAUCAGCUGUUGAACUUCAAAACAACAGUCGACGAUAAGCUUUUAGGGGGCGUUUCAGCAUCGAAGAGAAACUAGAGAAAGAUUUGCUGCAUUUCAGAAGUUUUCAGUGUUUAUAUGCGACUAAAGCAAAUGUGAAAAUGGCUAGUUUUGUUAAUAUGCUGCCGAAGUAAAAUGUGCAAAUGGCUAGUUUUUUUAGCCAUUUAAAAAUAAUAUGUCACUAGUAAUUAACCUUUACGGCAAACAGGUUCCCCUUGAUGUGCAAAUGUGAAAUCGGGUGUUAGUGCAAAAUUGUGAAUGGUAUUAAGAAAUGAAACUAGAAAAUUCCCGUUAGCUCUGAGAACGCAGCUCAAGGGAACGAUUCCUAUUUCUGGCCGGAUAAAAGUCCAUUACAAUGAACAAUAACAAUGAUAAUCUACAGUUAAGAUUCUUCUCAACUGACAAGAUUGAGUGCCUCCAGUUGCAAGAUAAAUAUGUGGGAGGAUUCGGCAACGGCUGAUGCCUGCCAUAUUAUCGAACACCAGUAUUUACUUUACUACCGUGGUUGAAUAAGAUUUACUUUUACAUUAUGUAGUACGUGCAGAAAGACAUGCAGGUAUUCCACUUGGUUAUACUACUUAUACAACAACAGGAGAAAUAUACACAAAUCGUUUGUACAAAUAUAUAUAAUAUAUGUAAUAGAAUAAUAUGCUUUUCUUUUCUUUUUCAAGCAAUUUUGCAUUUAAUCAUUUGCAAUUUAAACUUUUUUUUUGUUUUCAUUUUUUUGUUUGUUUUUUUAUAUUAUUUUUUCAAUGCUUUUAAUUUAAAUUUUCAAUUAUUAUUAAAAAAUUUAAUGAAGUUGAAGCUGACACAUCGUUAAUUCUUUUUCGUAAAGAAAUAAUGGUCAUCGUCCAACUUGUGUAUAAAUUGAUAUAUAAAAUUCACAUGUUUGUAUUAGAAUUCGCUGUGAAACUCGAUCCCCAUUACGCCAUGUAUGAGAUGGCGAAAAUUAGACGCUGCGUCGCGGUUGAUCUACAGUCAUCCAGUCUACAUGAGCUUAUAAGGGGCAAAAAGAAACAUCUUGUAAAUGUAAGAAAGUUAUCUCAAAAAUGAGAUAGUGUAGAGAUUGUACAUGCAACUAUCACCUGUAAUGAUGGCGUGAGAAAAUUAUCAUCAUAUUUUCAUAAAAUGAAUCAAUCCGAUGUGGAACACAUUGUUCAUUUGUUAUAUUCGAAAUUUUCGACGGUUCUCAUCAUCUAUGGGCAUCCAACACACACUAUCAAUUGACGAUCGAGCCGCCAACCCGCCCUAGUCAUUUAGGCAAUGGCACAUGCACUAAACGGAGGGAGAAUUCAGAUGUUUAGUUACGUUUAUUAUUAAUGUUCGUUGAUUGCUGUUGUAUGUUGUAAUUUUUAUUUAGAAGUAAAAAAUGAGCUUUGUUCAUUCGAAAACUGUGUCUAGGAAAAUGUGAAAUUUUAGAAACCAA